rnacentral:rRNA from 1 species
GACGAACGCUGGCGGCGCGCCUAACACAUGCAAGUCGAACGGAGUCACGAGGAGCUUGCUUUUCUUGACUUAGUGGCGAACGGGUGAGUAACGCGUGAGUAACCUGCCCUGGAGUGGGGGACAACAGUUGGAAACGACUGCUAAUACCGCAUAAGCCCACGGAUCCGCAUGGAUCUGCGGGAAAAGGAUUUAUUCGCUUCAGGAUGGACUCGCGUCCAAUUAGCUAGUUGGUGAGGUAACGGCCCACCAAGGCGACGAUUGGUAGCCGGACUGAGAGGUUGAACGGCCACAUUGGGACUGAGACACGGCCCAGACUCCUACGGGAGGCAGCAGUGGGGGAUAUUGCACAAUGGGGGAAACCCUGAUGCAGCGACGCCGCGUGGAGGAAGAAGGUUUUCGGAUUGUAAACUCCUGUCGUUAGGGACGAUAAUGACGGUACCUAGCAAGGAAGCACCGGCUAACUACGUG